CUUGGAGCAGUUCAGCUGGGGGCAGACCCGAGGACCCACGCAGGUGCUGUCAGCACUCCAGAGCAGGCAUGCAAUAAUCAAGGUGGCUUCUUGGGAUGGCUGUGAUUACCAUUUUACGGAACUGGGAUCUGAGUGCCAUUGACUCCAUGCUGAGGAAGAUGAAGGCGGAGCAACAGAGUAGGACAGAGGAGGAGCUAAAGCAGAGAGAGGCUGAAACUGACCGGCAUUGAGCAUGUUGCUCUACCAAGGAGAGGUGGUAACACCGAGAUCCUACCACUACAAAGGGAGGCUUACUGGAUAUAUCUAAAAACAUUGACCCCUAGUGAUCUGAAUAUUGACUUUGAUCUCAGGCCCUUCUUAUGAACAGUUCUCUCUUUUAUGAACAAGUCUUAUAAAUGGACACACCCAAUAUGUUCCCCCCUGUUGAUGAUGCUUAUUAUGCAUUAUGGUUGAACCAAAACAAUGUAGUGAAAUAGGUAACAAAUAAAUAUAUACACACGCGCACACACAC